GCUGGUGUCUUUCAUCUUUUGGGUACCACCCCUUCCCAUUCCGAACAGGGCCGUUAAACCAAAAGUAGCCGAUGAUACUCGGAGGCUUAGCCUCCCGGGAAAGUAGGUGAUGCCAGCA
rnacentral:rRNA from 1 species